GACGAACGCUGGCGGCGUGCUUAACACAUGCAAGUCGAACGGAAAGGCCCUGCUUUUGUGGGGUGCUCGAGUGGCGAACGGGUGAGUAACACGUGAGUAACCUGCCCUUGACUUUGGGAUAACUUCAGGAAACUGGGGCUAAUACCGGAUAGGAGCUCCUGCUGCAUGGUGGGGGUUGGAAAGUUUCGGCGUUUGGGGAUGGUCUCGCGGCUUAUCAGCUUGUUGGUGGGGUAGUGGCUUACCAAGGCUUUGACGGGUAGCCGGCCUGAGAGGGUGACCGGCCACAUUGGGACUGAGAUACGGCCCAGACUCCUACGGGAGGCAGCAGUGGGGAAUAUUGCACAGUGGGCGGAAGCCUGAUGCAGCAACGCCGCGUGCGGGAUGACGGCCUACGGGUUGUGAACCGCUUUCGCCUGUGACGAAGCGUGCGUGACGGUAAUGGGUAAAGAAGCACCGGCUAACUACGUG
rnacentral:rRNA from 1 species